rnacentral:rRNA from 1 species
UGAGGAAUAUUGCGCAAUGGGGGCAACCCUGACGCAGCGACGCCGCGUGGGUGAGGAAGGUUUUCGGAUCGUAAAGCCCUGUCAGGUGGGAAGAAGUGUUAUACGGUUAAUACCCGUAUAAUUUGACGGUACCACCAGAGGAAGCACCGGCUAACUCCGUGCCAGCAGCCGCGGUAAUACGGAGGGUGCAAGCGUUGUUCGGAAUUACUGGGCGUAAAGGGCGCGUAGGCGGCCUGAUAAGUCAGAUGUGAAAGCCCACGGCUCAACCGUGGAAGUGCAUCUGAAACUGUCUGGCUUGAGUAUUGGAGGGGAAAGUGGAAUUCCAGGUGUAGAGGUGAAAUUCGUAGAUAUCUGGAGGAACACCGGUGGCGAAGGCGACUUUCUGGACAAAUACUGACGCUGAGGCGCGAAAGCGUGGGGAGCAAACA